AUGCUUCUUUCGAGGACAUAGGCUCCCAGCUCAAGGACAACCUGCACGCCUCAUCGCUGCUCUUUAGGCUUCUCAGAGAAAACGGCUUCUCUGUUUCCGAAGAUAUAUUCAAGAAAUUUAAAGACGAGAAAGGCCAGUUCGAAGACCGGCUCCACAGCCAGGCCCAGGGAUUACUGAGUUUGUACGAGGCUUCUUACCU